UACGGAGGGGACUAGCGUUGUUCGGAAUUACUGGGCGUAAAGCGCACGUAGGCGGAUUUGUAAGUCAGGGUGAAAUCCCGGGGCUCAACCUCGGAACUGCCUUUGAUACUGCAAUCUCGAGUCCGGAAGAGGUGAGUGGAAUUCCUAGUGUAGAGGUGAAAUUCGUAGAUAUUAGGAAGAACACCAGUGGCGAAGGCGGCUCACUGGUCCGGUACUGACGCUGAUGUGCGAAAGC
rnacentral:rRNA from 1 species